UGACUAGCUUCCUCAUACUUCUCCUGUAACGUGGGAAUAAAGAAAGUGUCAUGUGAAAUCAUAUGUAAAGUGUGAACAAUAGGGAACAGUUUGAACCUGCGGACAGACCUUGGCAUCUGCACUGAAACCCUUCAGGAAUUUCGCUUGGACAAAUCCUUGAGCGAGUAUCAAAGGUGAC